AGGAGACUCCUAAGAUAGCAGGUUCCUAUGAUGUUUUCGAUUCUUGUAGCAAACUGCAAGAUUUUUAGAGUCCUUCGUGGCCAUGAUUGAAUGAGGUGUAUAUAUUUCAAUAUGGAUGGAUCACCUGUGUUUGGGGCAUCCCAUUUUCAUAGUGGCAUGAUCUUAUUGGAUGGGUUGGAUGGAUGGACCCCACAUGAAGCUAGGUGGAUUGAGAUUCUCGUCUAAUACUAGUUGCAUGUGAGAUGUAUACAAAAUGGUCAUGGAGAGAUUUUGCUCAGAUGAGAAACAAAGAUAACUACAACAACCUUUCAACAGAGAUAACUACAAUAGUUGUCACACUCCACAAUUGUGUUAGUGUUUUCCUCUAGGAAUAACAGUGUCAAAGUUCUCAUUUACUGAUUUUAUGUUCAUGGUCCAGCGUUCAGCUAUAUGCUUACCAUCAAUAAUAUGCACAGAUGUUACAUCUGCUUGGCUGAGUAUGAUGAAGGAUAUAAAAUCAGAGUGUUGCCCUGCCGCCACGAGUACCAUAUGUUAUGUGUGGAUAAAUGGCUGAAAGAGAUACACGGGGUAUGCCCGCUCUGUCAGGGGGAUGUUUGUGCAGGAGAUGCUGGGAGCUCUAUCUCAAAUGCAUGAAAAUCCCAUUUGUAGAAACUUUAUAUAUGUGUAAGUAGCAGCAUAGCCUUGCUAUUCUAAUCUUAUCAUGUUAAAUUUCCUCUUCCUUUGUUUUUGAAUUAUAUUUCUAUCAAUAUUAUGUUUUAUCUUCCAAUUCCCAAAUCUUGUAAUUCCAUGUUGGCACACCUUAAAUAUUCACACAUCACAACCUACAUAGAAUGAUCUAAA